rnacentral:rRNA from 1 species
UACGGAGGUAGCGAGCGUUACCAGGAUUUACUGGGUGUAAAGGGCGUGUAGGCGGUCUCUCAAGUCCGAUGCUAAAGACCGAGGCUCAACCUCGGGAGUGCGUUGGAUACUGUGAGGCUAGACGGUCGGAGAGGGCAGCGCAAUUCUCGGAGUAGCGGUGAAAUGCGCAGAUACCGAGAGGAACGCCAAUAGCGAAGGCAGCUCCCUGGACUAUUUGUGCCGCUGAGUCGCGAAAGCCUGGGGAGCAAACCGG